UUUCCGUAGGUGAACCUGCGGAAGGAUCAUUACUGUGCCUUCGGGGGCAAGCUUUCCCUCUGGACAGCUGGAACGGCGCCUUGGCGGCCCGUUCGGGCUGGCGGCGGCGGGUUGGGGAGCCCAGUGGGCUUCCGAGCCGGCACGUCGAUCGAGCUUGCCCUGUCUGAACACCCCCCUUGCUUUUUGCGUACCCCCCGUUUCCUCGGCAGGCUUGCCUGUCCGCAGGACCUUUUUAAACCCGUUGCACUGUCGUCUGCGUCGGAUUUGUAUCAAUGGUUACAACUUUCAACAACGGAUCUCUUGGUUCUG
rnacentral:misc_RNA from 1 species